UACGUAGGGGGCAAGCGUUGUCCGGAAUCAUUGGGCGUAAAGAGCGUGUAGGCGGCUUGGUAAGUCCGCUGUGAAAGUCCAGGGCUCAACCCUGGAAAGCCGGUGGAAACUGUCAAGCUUGAGUCCGGAAGAGGCGAGUGGAAUUCCUGGUGUAGCGGUGAAAUGCGCAGAUAUCAGGAGGAACACCGGUGGCGAAGGCGGGUCUCUGGGCCGAUACUGACGCUGAGGAGCGAAAGCGUGGGGAGCGAACCGG
rnacentral:rRNA from 1 species